GCUUAACACAUGCAAGUCGAACGGGAUCCAUCGGGCUUUGCUUGGUGGUGAGAGUGGCGAACGGGUGAGUAAUGCGUGACCGACCUGCCCCAUGCACCGGAAUAGCUCCUGGAAACGGGUGGUAAUGCCGGAUGCUCCAUCACACCGCAUGGUGUGUUGGGAAAGCCUUUGCGGCAUGGGAUGGGGUCGCGUCCUAUCAGCUUGAUGGCGGGGUAACGGCCCACCAUGGCUUCGACGGGUAGCCGGCCUGAGAGGGCGACCGGCCACAUUGGGACUGAGAUACGGCCCAGACUCCUACGGGAGGCAGCAGUGGGGAAUAUUGCACAAUGGGCGCAAGCCUGAUGCAGCGACGCCGCGUGAGGGAUGGAGGCCUUCGGGUUGUAAACCUCUUUUGUUAGGGAGCAAGGCACUUUGUGUUGAGUGUACCUUUCGAAUAAGCACCGGCUAACUACGUGCCAGCAGCCGCGGUAAUACGUAGGGUGCAAGCGUUAUCCGGAAUUAUUGGGCGUAAAGGGCUCGUAGGCGGUUCGUCGCGUCCGGUGUGAAAGUCCAUCGCUUAACGGUGGAUCCGCGCCGGGUACGGGCGGGCUUGAGUGCGGUAGGGGAGACUGGAAUUCCCGGUGUAACGGUGGAAUGUGUAGAUAUCGGGAAGAACACCAAUGGCGAAGGCAGGUCUCUGGGCCGUUACUGACGCUGAGGAGCGAAAGCGUGGGGAGCGAACAGGAUUAGAUACCCUGGUAGUCCA
rnacentral:rRNA from 1 species